UUUUAGUAUAUAGUCCUUUUUGAAUUGCUAUUUAUAGCUCUAAAACAUUAGGAAAUAUAAUCAAACCGAAUCUAUGUUUCCUAAGAUGAAGACUUCUUCUAUUGCCACACUCCUAUUUCUUGCUGUCUUGCUAUUUAUAUUUGGUUUGAAAUCGGGAGAAAGUCAAGUAUGCGCAUAUGGAACAGUGGAAAUGGAGAGAUGCACAAUCCCACAAUGCUCUUCAGAUUGCCGGAACAAAGUCCCACAUUCAACUGGGAAAUGCAUUGCUAUCGACACUUGUUGUUGUGUCGCUAGAGCUAUUUUACAUCAUUAAUUUUCCUUUUCUUUUCUCUUCUCUUAUUAUCUACCAAGUCACUCAAUUAUUAUCUAUCUUAUCAACCCUUUUUUCUUUUUUCUGUUUUUUUAUUUUAUUUUUGGCAUUACGUAGGAUAUCUCAACUCCAAGUAAUACACCCCAAAAAAUUAAAUAUGUUUGUUA